rnacentral:rRNA from 1 species
AUUGAACGCUGGCGGCAGGCCUAACACAUGCAAGUCGAACGGUAACAGGAAACAGCUUGCUGUUUCGCUGACGAGUGGCGGACGGGUGAGUAAUGUCUGGGAAACUGCCUGAUGGAGGGGGAUAACUACUGGAAACGGUAGCUAAUACCGCAUAACGUCGCAAGACCAAAGAGGGGGACCUUCGGGCCUCUUGCCAUCGGAUGUGCCCAGAUGGGAUUAGCUAGUAGGUGGGGUAACGGCUCACCUAGGCGACGAUCCCUAGCUGGUCUGAGAGGAUGACAGGCCACACUGGAACUGAGACACGGUCCAGACUCCUACGGGAGGCAGCAGUGGGGAAUAUUGCACAAUGGGCGCGAGCCUGAUGCAGCCAUGCCGCGUGUAUGAAGAAGGCCUUCGGGUUGUAAAGUACUUUCAGCGGGGAGGAAGGGAGUAAAGUUAAUACCUUUGCUCAUUGACGUUACCCGCAGAAGAAGCACCGGCUAACUCCGUGCCAGCCGCCGCAGUAA